rnacentral:rRNA from 1 species
AGGGUUUGAUCAUGGCUCAGGAUGAACGCUAGCGGCAGGCCUAACACAUGCAAGUCGAACGGUAACAGGAAAUAGCUUGCUAUUUUGCUGACGAGUGGCGCACGGGUGCGUAACGCGUAUACAAUCUACCUCUUGCUGAGGGAUAGCCCAGAGAAAUUUGGAUUAAUACCUCAUGGUAUUAUAGAUAGGCAUCUAUUUAUAAUUAAAGGUUACGGCGAGAGAUGAGUAUGCGUCCCAUUAGCUAGUUGGCGAGGUAACGGCUCACCAAGGCAACGAUGGGUAGGGGUCCUGAGAGGGAGAUCCCCCACACUGGUACUGAGACACGGACCAGACUCCUACGGGAGGCAGCAGUGAGGAAUAUUGGACAAUGGGCGGGAGCCUGAUCCAGCCAUGCCGCGUGCAGGAAGACUGCCCUAUGGGUUGUAAACUGCUUUUAUACAGGAAGAAUAAGCCUUACGUGUAAGGUGAUGACGGUACUGUAAGAAUAAGGACCGGCUAACUCCGUGCCAGCCGCCGCGGUAAUAC